rnacentral:rRNA from 1 species
ACGAACGCUGGCGGCGUGCUUAACACAUGCAAGUCGAACGGAAAGGCCCCUUUGGGGGUACUCGAGUGGCGAACGGGUGAGUAACACGUGAGUAACCUGCCCUUGACUUCGGGAUAACUUCAGGAAACUGGGGCUAAUACCGGAUAGGAAUCCUUGCUGCAUGGUGGGGGUUGGAAAGCUUCGGCGGUUUUGGAUGGACUCGCGGCUUAUCAGCUUGUUGGUGGGGUAGUGGCUUACCAAGGCUUUGACGGGUAGCCGGCCUGAGAGGGCGACCGGCCACAUUGGGACUGAGAUACGGCCCAGACUCCUACGGGAGGCAGCAGUGGGGAAUAUUGCACAAUGGGCGGAAGCUUGAUGCAGCAACGCCGCGUGCGGGAUGACGGCCUUCGGGUUGUAAACCGCUUUCAGCAGGGGCGAAGCUUGUGGUGACGGUACCUGCAGAAGAAGCACCGGCUAACUACGUG